rnacentral:rRNA from 1 species
UACAUGAUAUGACUUAGUGGCGGACGGGUGAGUAACACGUAGGUAACCAACCCUAAAGCGGGGGACAACCCAGGGAAACUUGGGCUAAUACCGCAUAAGACCACGGUCUGGGAGGAUUGUGGUAAAAGUAGCAAUACACUUUAGGCUGGGCCUGCGGCCUAUCAGGUAGUUGGUAAGGUAAUGGCUUACCAAGCCUAAGACGGGUAGCCGGACUGAGAGGUUGAACGGCCACACUGGAACUGAGAUACGGUCCAG